rnacentral:rRNA from 1 species
GCUAGCGGCAGGCCUAACACAUGCAAGUCGAGGGGCAUCACGAGGUAGCAAUACUUUGGUGGCGACCGGCGCACGGGUGCGUAACGCGUAUGUAACCUACCUAUAACAGGGGCAUAACACUGAGAAAUUGGUACUAAUUCCCCAUAAUAUUCGGAGAGGCAUCUCUCCGGGUUGAAAACUCCGGUGGUUAUAGAUGGACAUGCGUUGUAUUAGCUAGUUGGUGAGGUAACGGCUCACCAAGGCAACGAUACAUAGGGGGACUGAGAGGUUAACCCCCCACACUGGUACUGAGACACGGACCAGACUCCUACGGGAGGCAGCAGUGAGGAAUAUUGGUCAAUGGACGCAAGUCUGAACCAGCCAUGCCGCGUGCAGGAAGACGGCUCUAUGAGUUGUAAACUGCUUUUGUACGAGGGUAAACUCACCUACGUGUAGGUGACUGAAAGUAUCGUACGAAUAAGGAUCGGCUAACUCCGUGCCAGCAGCCGCGGUAAUACGGAGGAUUCAAGCGUUAUCCGGAUUUAUUGGGUUUAAAGGGUGCGUAGGCGGUUUGAUAAGUUAGAGGUGAAAUCCCGGGGCUUAACUCCGGAACUGCCUCUAAUACUGUUAGACUAGAGAGUAGUUGCGGUAGGCGGAAUGUAUGGUGUAGCGGUGAAAUGCUUAGAGAUCAUACAGAACACCGAUUGCGAAGGCAGCUUACCAAACUAUAUCUGACGUUGAGGCACGAAAGCGUGGGGAGCAAACAGGAUUAGAUACCCUGGUAGUCCACGCAGUAAACGAUGAUAACUCGUUGUCGGCGAUACACAGUCGGUGACUAAGCGAAAGCGAUAAGUUAUCCACCUGGGGAGUACGUUCGCAAGAAUGAAACUCAAAGGAAUUGACGGGGGCCCGCACAAGCGGAGGAACAUGUG